rnacentral:rRNA from 1 species
AUUGAACGCUGGCUGCAGGCCUAACACAUGCAAGUCGAACGGUAACAGGAAACAGCUUGCUGUUUCGCUGACGAGUGGCGGACGGGUGAGUAAUGUCUGGGAAACUGCCUGAUGGAGGGGGAUAACUACUGGAAACGGUAGCUAAUACCGCAUAACGUCGCAAGACCAAAGAGGGGGACCCUCGGGCCUCUUGCCAUCGGAUGUGCCCAGAUGGGAUUAGCUUGUUGGUGGGGUAACGGCUCACCAAGGCGACGAUCCCUAGCUGGUCUGAGAGGAUGACCAGCCACACUGGAACUGAGACACGGUUCAGACUCCUACGGGAGGCAGCAGUGGGGAAUAUUGCACAAUGGGCGCAAGCCUGAUGCAGCCAUGCCGCGUGUAUGAAGAAGGCCUUCGGGUUGUAAAGUACUUUCAGCGGGGAGGAAGGGAGUAAAGUUAAUACCUUUGCUCAUUGACGUUACCCGCAGAAGAAGCACCGGCUAACUCCGUGCCAGCAGCCGCGGUAAUACGGAGGGUGCAAGCGUUAAUCGGAAUUACUGGGCGUAAAGCGCACGCAGGCGGUUUGUUAGGUCAGAUGUGAAAUCCCCGGGCUCAACCUGGGAACUGCAUCUGAUACUGGCAAGCUUGAGUCUCGUAGAGGGGGGUAGAAUUCCAGGUGUAGCGGUGAAAUGCGUAGAGAUCUGGAGGAAUACCGGUGGCGAAGGCGGCCCCCUGGACGAAGACUGACGCUCAGGUGCGAAAGCGUGGGGAGCAAACAGGAUUAGAUACCCUGGUAGUCCACGCCGUAAACGAUGUCGACUUGGAGGUUGUGCCCUUGAGGCGUGGCUUCCGGAGCUAACGCGUUAAGUCGACCGCCUGGGGAGUACGGCCGCAAGGUUAAAACUCAAAUGAAUUGACGGGGGCCCGCACAAGCGGUGGAGCAUGUGGUUUAAUUCGAUGCAACGCGAAGAACCUUACCUGGUCUUGACAUCCACGGAAGUUUUCAGAGAUGAGAAUGUGCCUUCGGGAACCGUGAGACAGGUGCUGCAUGGCUGUCGUCAGCUCGUGUUGUGAAAUGUUGGGUUAAGUCCCGCAACGAGCGCAACCCUUAUCCUUUGUUGCCAGCGGUCCGGCCGGGAACUCAAAGGAGACUGCCAGUGAUAAACUGGAGGAAGGUGGGGAUGACAUCAAGUCAUCAUGGCCCUUACGACCAGGGCUACACACGUGCUACAAUGGCGCAUACAAAGAGAAGCGACCUCGCGAGAGCAAGCGGACCUCAUAAAGUGCGUCGUAGUCCGGAUUGGAGUCUGCAACUCGACUCCAUGAAGUCGGAAUCGCUAGUAAUCGUGGAUCAGAAUGCCACGGUGAAUACGUUCCCGGGCCU